rnacentral:rRNA from 1 species
GGAGGUAGUGACAAUAAAUCACAAUGCGGAACUUUUAGUUUUGCAAUUGGAUUGAGAACAAUGUACAAAUGUUAUCGAUAAACAAUUGGAGGGCAAGUCUGGUGCCAGCAGCCGCGGUAAUUCCAGCUCCAAUAGCGUAUAUUAACGUUGUUGCAGUUAAAAAGCUCGUAGUUGAAAUGUGGGAUGAAGUAUAUAAUGAAUUUCUAAUUCAAUUGUAUAUUGAUUCCCCUCUCCAAUUUAUUAUUAUGGGUAUUAAUUUAUUUGUAAUAAGAAUUGGUCAUUUACUGUGAGAAAAUUAGAGUGUUCAAAGCAGGCAUUUGCUUGAAUAGAUUAGCAUGGAAUAAUACUAAAAGGCUUUUAUGGUCGAUUUUAUUGGUUUGUUCAUAAAAGCAAGAUUAAAAGGAACAGUUGGGGGUAUUCAUAUUCAAUAGUUAGAGGUGAAAUUCUCGGAUUUAUGGAAGAUGAACAAGUGCGAAAGCAA